CCUACGGGAGUCAGCAGUAGGGAAUCUUCCACAAUGGGCGAAAGCCUGAUGGAGCAACGCCGCGUGGGUGACGAAGGUCUUCGGAUCGUAAAACCCUGUUGUUAGAGAAGAAAGUGCGUGAGAGUAACUGUUCACGUUUCGACGGUAUCUAUCCAGAAAGCCACGGCUAACUACGUGCCAGCCGCCGCUGUCAUACGUAGGGGGCCAGGGUUAUCCGGAUUUUUUUGGCGUAAAGGGAACGCAGGCGGUCUUUUAAGUCUGAUGGGAAAGCCUUCGGCUUAACCGGAGUAGUGCAUUGGAAACUGGGAGACUUGAGUGCAGAAGAGGAGAGUGGAACUCCAUGUGUAGCGGUGAAAUGCGUAGAUAUAUGGAAGAACACCAGUGGCGAAAGCGGCUCUCUGGUCUGUAACUGACGCUGAGGUUCGAAAGCGUGGGUAGCAAACAGGAUUAGAUACCCUAGUAGUC
rnacentral:rRNA from 1 species